CCAAGCAGCGUGUCCUGUUGUCUCUCAUCCUCUGCUAAAUCCGCUCUUGUGGGCACGAUGUGCUGAAUUUAAAUAAAUUCUAGUCCUUGCUAAAUAUCUGUCAAAUAUUGACUUAGUCUGUGGUGUGAGCUGACUAAGCUGAAGUUAAUGGUGUAAUUUGUGCUUGUUUUGCAUGUGCAUUGGCUGCCUGAAGGGGAGUCGCUCACGAGGGGAGAUGGGGCUGAGUCCUGUGCAGAUCUGACUGAGAGUAAUGGCAUUUACAUAAAAACCAUUAGCUCUGUUAUUGAUAAACAUGAAAAACAUCCAUUUGGAGUAAUUUUCUGAUGAGGAGUCUUUAAUAUAAGCACACAAUAGUGGCUCUCCUGCCCCUCAUCCCUCCUCACUGACCCCUUGUUGUUUUAAGGGCAAGUUUUGAUGGAGAUUUUAUUGGCAGGGAUAUGAGGAGGUUCCUAUUCCAUUUUUGUGAAGUGGACAGUUAUCUGUGUGCAUGGUAGGGAAUUAUUUAAUGCCCAUCCUAAGAGGGGUCUCUAUUAAUUGAAUGUGGAUUUAAUGUCCCUCUGAAGCACAGUUGUUCUGUGCGUGAUGUGUAUUAAAGUGUAUGGCUAGUGAUGCAUUUUGCUUUUCUUUGCAUCAUAAUGCCACUCCAUGGGUAAUCUUUUGCUUAAUCAAAACAGGGUUAAGCAAAAGUUGAGUGGUUUCCUGUUACAGGGGUACCAUUUGUUGAACCACUGUGUCUGUUAAAGGCACUCCUCAGUGUGUGCUGGAUCCACAGCCCUUAUAUUCCUUCCAGGCUGCAUCUUGCAAAGGGAGUUCUUGUUUCCCCAUGUAAUAGGCAGAGCACACUGUAAUGGUGCUUUUGGUGGUCAGUGUGUCUCAGAAACAGAUGUGGUUCUCUGUAGCACCUGAUUUUUGCAGCUAUUGGUGCCACUCCCUUACAUUUUGAUCAGAUCGAGCCUUGCUGAGAGAGCCUCUGGGGGCAAGCAGUGCCGUAGGUGAUUUCAGGCAUUGCAGCAGUGCUCUGAGCUUUGUCAGCAUUCUUAGUUCUCAACCUCAGUGUUGAGGAGGGUCUGUCUGGCUUCCCUCGGCUGGCCUACUUCUUGGGUCUGUCACUUUGUCUAUACUUAGAGCCUUUUUUCCUCUCUGAUAG
rnacentral:lncRNA from 1 species